AUUGAACGCUGGCGGCAGGCCUAACACAUGCAAGUCGAGCGGAUGAAGGGAGCUUGCUCCUGGAUUCAGCGGCGGACGGGUGAGUAAUGCCUAGGAAUCUGCCUGGUAGUGGGGGAUAACGUCCGGAAACGGGCGCUAAUACCGCAUACGUCCUGAGGGAGAAAGUGGGGGACCUUCGGACCUCCCGCUCACAGAUGAGCCUAGGUCGGAUUAGCUAGUUGGUGGGGUAAAGGCCUACCAAGGCGACGAUCCGUAACUGGUCUGAGAGGAUGAUCAGUCACACUAGAACUAGAACACGGACCGGACUCCUACGGGAGGCAGCAGUGGGAAAUAUUGGACGAGGGGCGAAAGCCUUAUCCAGCCAUGCCGCGUGUGUGAAGAAAGUCUUCGGAUUGUAAAGCACUUUAAGUUGGUAGGAAGGGCAGUAAGUUAAUACCUUGCUGUUUUGACGUUACCAACAGAAUAGGCACCGGCUAACUUCGUG
rnacentral:rRNA from 1 species